rnacentral:rRNA from 1 species
GACGAACGCUGGCGGCGUGCUUAACACAUGCAAGUCGAACGGAAAGGCUCCAGCUUGCUGGAGUACUCGAGUGGCGAACGGGUGAGUAACACGUGGGUAAUCUGCCCUGCACUCUGGGAUAAGCCUUGGAAACUGGGUCUAGUACUGGAUAUGACCUUUCUCCUUAUGGGGUUUGGUGGAAAGUUUUUCGGUGUAGGAUGAGCCCGCGGCCUAUCAGCUUGUUGGUGGGGUGAUGGCCUACCAAGGCGACGACGGGUAGCCGGCCUGAGAGGGUGAUCGGCCACAUUGGGACUGAGAUACGGCCCAGACUCCUACGGGAGGCAGCAGUGGGGAAUAUUGCACAAUGGGCGGAAGCCUGAUGCAGCGACGCCGCGUGAGGGAUGACGGCCUUCGGGUUGUAAACCUCUUUCAGCAGGGACGAAGCGUAAGUGACGGUACCUGCAGAAGAAGCACCGGCUAACUAUGUG